GGUGGCACCAGACCCAGACCGUCUAGGAGACCGAGCCCUGGCCCGCUUUACGUGCGAUUUGGGUUUUGUCUCCGCCUCUACACACCCACACCCGCCUGCUGGGCCAGGACUCUCAUGUCAAUCAUGUGUGAACCGGAAUGUCACGCAGUUUCUUCGCCUGGGUUGGAAGCUGGAGGUGUGGGCGCUUCUGCCGGUUCCUAACUCCCAUAUAAGUGCACCCCUCUCCACCCUGUGCUGGUCCUCACCUCAUCCUCGGAGCCCACGGAGGUUCAUCCCACUAUGCCCUGGGGCAGAUGAACCGGGUCCCUGCUGCUGGACUGCCCACCCUCUGCCACUUGAGGGUUGGGGAAUAUGGGACACGAGGACGAUACCCAACCUUCUGUAAGCGGAGGUCUGUCUUUCAGAUUCUUCUGCCGAAAUGCCUCUGGAAGUACACCUUGAGCCCCACUUCACUGCCUCGAGCAGGAAGCCCACCCUACUCCAGAAGUCUUCAGUGCAGAAAAUAGAUGCCCAGGAAGUAAUUGCAUAUUGAGGACCUCACACAGGAACAACCCUAUAGUAUUUUACAGUUAUGAAGUGUAAAGAAUGCCUAAUUUUCAAAUUUGAUUUAGAUCACUUCUAGAGCAGGGCAGAUAAGCAUUAACUAGGAUGUGGUUAGUGUGGUCUACUCUGGUUUCUUUCCUGCUUUAACAAUUAGAAUGUGCAACCAUGGGAAAGAAUAAAAGUUGUGUUGGAAACUAGAGACACACACACACACACACAAAAGAAUAUAAAUCUUGAGUACUUAAUAACUUGGUGAAAUUAACAUUCUUCUGGGAUAACCCAGCCUUUUAUUAUAUUAAAAAUACUUAUUUUAAUGUGAAAGUGCUAAAGUUUUGCAGGACCAUUCCCCUAACUGUCCAAGAGAUUUCAGCAGAAUUUUGUAAUUUAUAAAACUGUUUUUCAUAACCAUGAUAAUUGCUGUUAAAUUUACCAUUUGUCACAGUGGAUGGAGUAUUUUCUAUUCAAGUUCAG
rnacentral:lncRNA from 1 species